GGGCCCAUGGCGCAGUGGUAGCGCGUCUCAUUUGCAAUGAGAAGGUCGUCGGUUCGAGUCCGACUGGGUCCA
rnacentral:tRNA from 1 species